rnacentral:rRNA from 1 species
GGUUGAUCGUGCUAGUUGUUAUUAUGCUUCUCUCUAAGAUUAAGUUAUGUGUAUGUAAGAUGAACUAAUUUAGAUUGUCAAACUGCGAAUGACUCAUUAAAUCAACUAUGGUUUGUUUGGUGGUACUUGCUACUCGGAUAAUCGUAGUAAUUGUAGAGUUGGUACGUGCAACGAGCCUCACCUUCUGAAAAGGAUGCAUUUAUUAGUUAAAGGUCGAGAUCGGUUUUGCCCGUUACAAAUGAUGCAUGAUAACUUGACGGAUCACACGGCCUUUGCGUUAGGCGCACAUCAUUCAAAUUUCUUCCUACCAACUUUCGAUGGUAGGAUAGUGGCUUACUAUGGUGGAGACGGAUAACGAAAAAUUAGGGUUCGAUUUCACAAAGGGAGCCUGAGUAACGGAUACCACAUCCAAGAAAGGUAACAAGCGUGCAAAUUACACAAUCCUAACACAGGGAGGUAGUGAAAAUAAUAAACAAUACAAGGUUAUUUGAGUCUAGUAAUUGAAAUGAGUACGAUAUAUAUCCGUCAACGAGUGUCCAUUAGAGGGAAAGUCUAGUGCUAACAGUCGUUGUGAUUCCAGAUCCAAUAACAUAAAUAAGUUGUGCAGUUAAAAGAUCGUAAUUGGACUUUGGGUUGGGUCGUUUUGCCCGUUCUUUUGGAUAUGCACUGAUUGUCUCGUCCCUUCUACCAGUGUGUUCCUAGCCUUAAUUGGUCGGGUCGUGACUCUAGUGUUGUUAUUUUGAAGAAAUUGGAGUGGUCCAAGCAAUCACAAGCUCUGUAUACAUUAGCAUGGGAUAACAUCAUGGGAUUUGGGUCAUGUGUUGUCUUCUGAGAUCAGAGUAACUAUUGACAGGGAUAGUCGGGGCAUUCGUGUUUCAUAGUUAGAGGUGAAAUUAUUGAAUUUAUGAAAGAUAUACAACCGCAAAACUAAUUUUUCAAGGAUGUUUUGAUUAAUCAAGAGCAAAAAUUGGGGGCUCAAAGACGAUCAGAUACCUUUCUAAUCUCAACCAUAAAUGAUGUCGAUCAGGGAUCGACGAAUGUUUCUUUUUGGACUCCGCCAACACUUUAUGAGAAAUCAAAGUUUUUGGGUUUUAGGGAGGAGUAUGGAUGGUCGAAGGGAUGAAACUUAAAGAAAUUGAUGGAAGGGAACCACCAGGAACGGUUCCUGCGACUUAAUUUGGCUCAACAUACGGAAACUUACCAUGUUCGUACAUAGUACGGAUUAGCAUACUGAGAUCGCUUUUUUAAUUCUAUAGGUGGUAGUACAUGGCUCUUUUUAGUUGGUGGAGAAAUUUUUCUGGUUAAUUUCGUUAGCGAACGAGAUCUCAACCUGCUAACUAGAUAUGCAGACGAUUCCCUCCGCUGCCAGUUUCUUAGAGGGAUUAUGGUCGUUUAGGCCACAGAAGUUUGAGGUAAUAACGGGCACGUGAUGCCCUUAGUUGUUCUGGGUGGCACAAGCACUACACUGAUAUAUUCAACGAGUUUAUGGCCUUGGCCGACAGGCCUGGAUAAUUUUCAAAAAUUUCAUCGUGAUGGGGAUAGAUCAUUGCACGUAUAGCGUGUUCACCUUGAAUAAC